rnacentral:rRNA from 1 species
AUUGAACGCUGGCGGCAGGCCUAACACAUGCAAGUCGAACGAGUGGCGGACGGGUGAGUAAUGUCUGGGAAACUGCCUGAUGGAGGGGGAUAACUACUGGAAAAGGUAGCUAAUACCGCAUACCAUCAGAUGUGCCCAGAUGGGAUUAGCUAGUUGGUGGGGUAACGGCUCACCAAGGCGCCGAUCCCUAGCUGGUCUGAGAGGAUGACCCGCCACACGGGAACGGGGACACGUCCCAGACUCCUACGUGAGGCAGCAGUGGGGAAUAUUGCACAAUGGGCGCAAGCCUGAUUCAGCCAUGCCGCGUGUAUGAAGAAGGCCUUCGGGUUGUAAAGUACUGUCAGCGGGGAGGCGUUACCCGCAGAAGAAGCACCGGCUAACUCCGUGCCAGCAGCCGCGGUAAUUC